UUUGGUGUCGUUAGUGUAGUGGAACCACACUAAUCCAUCUCGAACUCAGUUGUGAAACACUAUAAAUCGGUGACAAUACUUGGAAAGACAUUUUCUGGAAAGAUAGCUCGAUGCCAAAG
rnacentral:rRNA from 1 species